rnacentral:rRNA from 1 species
AUUGAACGCUGGCGGCAGGCUUAACACAUGCAAGUCGAGCGAGCGGCGGACUGGUGAGUAAUUUCUGGGAAACUGCCUGAUGGCGGGGGAUAACUACUGGAAACGGUAUCUAAUACCGCAUACCAUCAGAUGUGCCCCGAUGGGAUUCGCGAUGAGGUGGGGUAAUGGCUCACCUAGGCGACGAUCCCUAGCUGGUCUGAGAGGAUGACCAGCCAACCUGGAACUGAGACACGGUCCAGACUCCGACGGGAGGCAGCAGUGGGGAAUAUUGCACAAUGGGCGCAAGCCUGAUGCAGCCAUGCCGCGUGUGUGAAGAAGGCCUUCGGGUUGUAAAGCACUUUCAGCGAGGAGGCGUUACUCGCAGAAGAAGCACCGGCUAACUCCGUGCCAGCAGCCGCGGUAAUAC